UGGUUUACAAAGGGUACAGAUUAUUGAUAACAUAAAAAAUACAUAAAAAAAGUGUUAAAAGUUUAAUUAAAGAAGUUCAAGUAGAAAUUCUAUUGUAUUCUACUGUAUAUGAAGAAUAUUGCUUUUUUUUUUCAAGAUAUUGUUGUUACAUUUAACUACAGACUUGGUGUACUUGGUUUUUUAAGUACUGCUGAUGAAAGUAGUAUUUGUAAUCAAUGUAAAUUAGAUCAAGCAAUGUCAUUUCAAUGAAUUUAUAAUAAUAUACAAAAUUUUAAUGGUUAACCAAAAGACAUAACAUUAUUCGGAUCUGGAGCUGCUAUUGCUGGUUCAGCUGAUUACAUUCAGCCCUAGUAGCUAUAACAGCUGAUAUUUUAAUAUCAAAAAACUGUCAGUAAUGAUAAUAUUUGUAAUGUUGUUUAUUUUUCAUUCAUGUCUUGAUAGUAAAAAAAUGCUUACACAUUUAUUGAUACCUGGACAUUGUAUUAUAUCACCAAUACAUAAUGUAUCAUGUCAAACAUAGCUUCAUGAAGAUUUUUAUGAUGAAUUAAAAUUAUUCAAAACAUAAUAAACGAAAAUGUUUACUGAUAAUAACGAGUGUCCAAUAUUUUUUGAAGUUUCAAUGUGAUUAAAACUUUUUAACAUAUGCAAAUGAUUUGUGCAUAAUUACCAGAAGAUGUUGGAUCAAUGGCAACAAUGUACUUUAAAAAAGCCUUGUUAGAAUGUACAACUGAUUGGUCAACAGAUAAAAAAGUUGUUAAUUUAAGUAAAUAAGAUAUUAAUCAAUCAUCAAUUCCAAAAAGGUUACCAUAUAUUAUUGUUGAUUUUUGUAAUUAUGGUGGUUUUGCUCAUUUAAUUAAAGAUAAAAUGUUAUUUUUAAUUAAAUUUGCACAAGUAAUUACUCCCACAAGAAUUUUGCUGUUUUUUAUCAAGAUAUUGUUGCUAAAUUCAAGUGCAGAUUUGGUAUACUUGUAGGUUUUUUUGAUACUGCUGAUAAAAGUAAUAUUUGUAAUGAUUGUAAAUAGGAUCAAGCAAUGUCAUUUUAAUGAAUUGAUAAUAAUAUACAAAAUUUUAAUGGUGAACCAAGAGACAUAACAUUAUUUGGACCUGGUGCUGCUACACACAGCUGGUUCAACUGAUUACAACACAAGCAGCUGUUACAGCUGAUAUUUUUAUAUGUUGCUGGGAGCUGUUAGUAAUGUAUGUUGUUGACAAGUGGGUGUGAUACAGAUUCUCGUUCACCACGAGAAAGAACAGAGCAAUAAUAAAUGUUGAUAUUGGUGAUACAUAUAAAUUUUAUGAUGAAUUAAAAAUUUAU